rnacentral:rRNA from 1 species
GAUGAACGCUGGCGGCGUGCCUAAUACAUGCAAGUCGAGCGAACAGACGAGGAGCUUGCUCCUCUGACGUUAGCGGCGGACGGGUGAGUAACACGUGGAUAACCUACCUAUAAGACUGGGAUAACUUCGGGAAACCGGAGCUAAUACCGGAUAAUAUAUUGAACCGCAUGGUUCAAUAGUGAAAGACGGUUUUGCUGUCACUUAUAGAUGGAUCCGCGCCGCAUUAGCUAGUUGGUAAGGUAACGGCUUACCAAGGCAACGAUGCGUAGCCGACCUGAGAGGGGGGACCGGCCACAAGGAAACUGAGCAACGUCCCAGAGCCUAAGGGGAGGCAGAGUUGGGAAUCUUUCGCAAAUGGGGGAAAGCUUGACGGAGCAAUGCCGGGUGAGUGAGGAAGUGCUCCGGACGGUAAACCGUUGUUAUAGGGAAGAACAAAUGUGUAAGUAACUAUGCACGUCUUGACGGUACCUAAUCAGAAAGCCACGGCUAACUACGUG